rnacentral:rRNA from 1 species
GUAGGGAGCGAGCGUUAUCCGGAAUUAUUGGGUGUAAAGGGUGCGUAGGCGGUUUUAUAAGUCAGAGGUGAAAGCCCAGAGCUUAACUCUGGUAAGCCAUUGAAACUGUAGAACUUGAGUAUGGUAGAGGCAAGUGGAAUUUCUAGUGUAGCGGUAAAAUGCGUAGAUAUUAGAAGGAACACCAGUGGCGAAGGCGACUUGCUGGGCCAAAACUGACGCUGAGGCACGAAAGCGUGGGGAGCAA